CAUAGCGACGUUGCUUUUUGAUCCUUCGAUGUCCGCUCUUCCUAUCAUUGAGACGCAGAAGUCUCAAAGUGUCGGAUGUUCACCCGCCAAUAGGGAACGUGAGCUGGGUUUAGACCGUCGUGAGACAGGUUAGUUUUACCCUACUGACAAAGUAGAUACUGCGACAGUAGUCGAAGUUAGUACGAGAGGAACACUUCGUCCAGAUACUUGGUUAAUGCCGUUGUCUGAAAAGACAGUACGGCGAAGCUACCAUCUGCUGGAUUACGGCUGAACGCCUCUAAGCCGGAAUCCAUGCUGGAUAAGCAGUGUUGUACACCGUGCUCAAUGCUACAAGAAAAAGGCUAGGUCAGGCUUCGGCCUGACCAAAAUUCAAGCUGCUAUACCUCUGGCUGCAUUGACUUGUGGUCAGAGUGUAUGGUGAUCAUAGCAAUUGCAAGUAUUGGGCUCGAUAAAUCCUUUGAAGACGACUUAAUUGCAUCCGGGUAUUGUAAGUGUUGAGAGUAGGCUUAGUCUUACGAUCCACUGAGAUUCAUCCCGUGUUGCGCCGAUUUGU
rnacentral:ncRNA from 1 species